rnacentral:rRNA from 1 species
UACGUAGGUGGCAAGCGUUGUCCGGAUUUAUUGGGUUUAAAGGGUGCGUAGGCGGUCUAUUAAGUCAGUGGUGAAAUACUCCAGCUUAACUGGAGGGGUGCCAUUGAUACUGAUGGACUUGAGUGAAGUCGAGGUAGGCGGAAUUGACGGUGUAGCGGUGAAAUGCUUAGAUAUCGUCAAGAACACCAAUAGUGAAGACAGCUUACUAGGCUUAUACUGACGCUGAGGCACGAAGGCCAGGGGAGCAAACGGG